rnacentral:rRNA from 1 species
UACGUAGGGGGCAAGCGUUGUCCGGAUUUAUUGGGCGUAAAGCGCUCGCAGGUGGUCCGCUGCGUCGUGCGUGAAAGCCCCCGGCUCAACUGGGGAGGGUCACGCGAUACUGAUCGACUCGAAGGCAGGAGAGGGAAGUGGAAUUCCCGGUGUAGUGGUGAAAUGCGUAGAUAUCGGGAGGAACACCAGUGGCGAAGGCGACUUCCUGGCCUGUUCUUGACGCUGAGGCGCGAAAGCUAGGGGAGCAAACGGG